rnacentral:rRNA from 1 species
GUGUCAGCCGCCGCGGUAAUACAGAGGUUCCAAGCGUUGUUCGGAUUCACUGGGCGUAAAGGGUGCGUAGGCGGUCGGGUAAGUCUGAUGUGAAAUCUCCGGGCCCAACCCGGAAACUGCAUUGGAUACUAUUCGGCUAGAGGUUUGGAGGGGGGACUGGAAUUCUCGGUGUAGCAGUGAAAUGCGUAGAUAUCGAGAGGAACACCCGUGGCGAAGGCAAGUCCCUGGACAACACCUGACGCUGAGGCACGAAAGCUAGGGGAGCAAACAGGAUUAGAAACCCCUGUAGUCC